CUCUGCUAACAGCAGCGGGUUUCUGACUGGCAGAACUGGUCUGGCUUUCUCUAGGAUUCAUUCAGCAUAAAUGCAUCAGGAAAGCAAUGUAUAGCAUAGGGUGCAAUGAAGGCAGUGCCAUCUCCACUUCUUCUUCAGGCACAGCACUUGCAGGCAGAAGACAUGAAGUAAAGAGAAUGCCAAGAACCAGGCUCUCAGCCUUGCGAGUCAUUAACAAUCUGGAAGGAGACUCAUACAUGCUGUCAACCUAAGCAGAAAAUCUGAGAGAGGCACAGAGAUGGACCAAAACUGAAAGACUUGGAGUGCAUCUCCAUACUCCUCCCUUCUCUGAAGCGCUGAUUGCUGGCAGCCCAAGGAACUGGGUUAUGGACUGACAUUAAAGAUGCAAGUCUGGGAGCAGGCAAAUAAUGUGACUGCAGGACUGGAAGGCACUGUAACACAGUAAGUGGACAGCAAAACAUUUUAAGGUAAACUCCUUUUGAUCCUGAAGUAAAGGUACAAGGCUAAUUGAGCGUAACUCUGAUGAACUAGAACAUGGGAGUCUAUCGCUUUCUUUUGCAGACUUCCUCGGUGGUGGUUUCAUUACACUGGCAGCUUGGUUACAGCUUCCCAGGGGAAACAAAAUGAGAGUAAACACAAUUUUCUGAACUGAUUAUGCUACCUGGAGCUGCACUUGUAGCAAACCAGGUUUUCCAGGCGAGAGACCUAGUAAAAUACACAUGUAAGAUUUUUGCUUACCCAUUCUUCCCAGCAGUAUUUGUCUAUUGAUAUUACCAUGAGUAGAAAUACUGAGGUGGGCCAAGUAUUUAUUAUUGGAGAGGUUUCUGCUCUCCUUUUACUUCACUUUUUAGCAGCAGUUUUGAAGUCCACAAUCACACUGCAGCACAAUAACAAACACUUCAAGGAUGACACUUUACAUUUCCAAAAGUACCUUUAUUCCAAGAAUCUCUGAGCACUUUUCAACACGAAUUACCAACUCAUCUCUUGGUGAUAAGUAGGUGUUAUUUCCAUUUUAAAAACUGAGAAACUGAAACUGCUGCAUAAAGUAACUGGGAAACAUCUACUUCUUGGAGCUUUCUUGACUUGUUUUCCAUGCCCUUUUCUCUUUUCCCUCUUGGACCAUUCUUAAACUCGGUUUCCUCUCCACUCAGUCUAUAAUAAUCCCCUCGAUACAACCUGAUAUUGUACCCAAACGUGAAAACCCUUCUUUCCUGCAUCUUGGACAUGUGUAAGUGUUCUCCUGAUGCAGGUAAUAACACACAUCAAUGCAUUUCAAAGAGCUGUAUUUAUGUAGAUAGUUUUAAAUUGUUAUUUCCAUUUUAUAUGUGUAUGUGUGGGUGGGGAGGAUUAGACUGCAGAUAAGUUAAAGAACAGAGGUGUCUCAGGUGCCUCUGAUGUGGGGUACUGAAUGGGAGAAAAGCAGUUUUGCAAAGAUGCUAAACACUGACUGUUCCCACUGCUUGGAAAGUUCAGACCACUUUGGCGAUUCUGGGCUUACACCGCUUGGUGCUUAGUAGGACACUGGUCAGCGUGUUGACUGGUGUCUGUUUUCAAUCUAAAUAAACAAGUAUUUUCCUCCAGAAGGGUGCUUUGUUCAAGAUAAGGGUAACUGGUUUCACUGUACAUAUGUCUGAAUUAAACUGCUGCUACACUAAUCUUAGUUUCUGUUUCUUAACAUUAACCUUGUUAUUGUAUUUGUGUGAAAUAAAACGUUGGCAGUCUGUU